UUUGCCGGUGAUGUUUAACAAAUCUCUAGAUUUUAAUCUACCACGUAUUCAUCAAAUCUUACGGUGGGGUUUAUUUUCUGUCAAUUACAAACAAAAGCGUUUACUUCCUCUCUCCUCUCUCCUCCAUUAUCAUGCGUUAUUUUCUCUCUCCUCUGUUUUCUCUCUCCUAAUUUCUCGAUUCUUCUUCUAAUUUCAUGCUACUUCAAAAUCACUAUAAUGUAAUAGCUUCGAUUCUUCAUCAAAUUCGUUAUCAUUAUCGUCUAUGAUCUAGUAUCAACCGAUUUACGACGGAGUUAUCGCCGGCAGAGUUUCCGGUCGGAAUUGGAAGCAGCCGAGGAUUAUCUAAUUUAAUCAGAGAAUUAUAUACGAGCAAAUAUCUUUGGAAUAUCAAAGUACGAGUUUCUCGCCUUAUGAUCCUGUUGGAUGAGGAGGUUCCGUGACGGUCCUAUGCACGGUGGGAGGCCCCUUG